AUUAACUCCGGGGACAUAGAGCACAGAAAAUAUGCAGGCUUACUCUCCUUCUUAUGCAACUUCUCUCCGUGUUUUCUCUCCCUGAAUUCAAGAGGUGGUUCACAGAGCUUGGAGAAGGCAUUUUGAAUACUAACUACUGUUAGUGUGGGCCUUUUAUUUGCCAUUCAGAUGUGUUCUAUCCUACUUGCAGGGCAUGGUCCUCAGUUUCCCAUCUCACCUAGUAGUCUGCUAAUCAGAGUUUUUUAGCCUCAAGUCAUGUCUAGACUUCACUGUGACUAGUAGUGUGGGAAUCAAAUGUUGUUUCUGCAUUAGAAUUGGAUAAUAUUUCUUUUGUUUCAUGAUCUCCGCUAUCAUAGUUCUUUUUGGGAGUCCUUCUACUUAACCCGGGGAAGCUCUCUGAUAGUCUACAUCACUGAUCCUCCAGACGAACCUUCCCAGGCACGCACACUCUGUAUAUAGGUGUAUAGAUGUAUAUAUUGUCGUACAUACUGCAAGAAUAUCCUGCACGAGAGCAAACCAGAGAGCAAAACGAGAGCCUGCCCGAGGAAGCGCCUGAAGAGACAUCAGAAGGCCUGGCAUCAUCCCCAGUGCUCUUUGUUUAACGAAGACUUUAAAGAAAAUCGCCAUAUCAAUACGGCAAGGAGAGCACCGAGACAGCUUGGAAACAACAGCACGGCUGCUGAGUGACACCAGGGCUUGCUGGCUAAGGACCAAGGAGCAUCAGAAAGCUUUCUUCUCUCUGUUUUCCACAGCAUUUGGAAUCAGAGCGAGAAGCUGAGACACAACCGAGCAUGGGAACGGUCAGACUUCAGUGCCUUCAAAGAAAAAGGGAGACGAGAGGAAGAGAAGUUCCAAAACCUCUUUUCAGUUGUGACAAUGAAGAUAAGCAUUUCUAGGUAUAUGUCUGCAAAAUGAAGCUGAAGUAUAGCUUCAAGACAACAGUGCUACAGUGACUGCCAAGUACUUGAGGCCACAUCUACAGCAUGGGAACAGAUGCAUCUUGAGCUGGCAGCGAUCAGCAUACUGCUUCAUAAACCUGCAAUGCUGGGGAGUUGAGUGCAGUAACAGAGACACUCUUGCUCUGUGCAUGGUCAUUAAAAAGCUGCAGAACUGUGCAAGAAGUUUCACUCUAUUGUGGGACUUUUCCAGAUCAUGGGUUCAUGAACACUAUCUUACUCCUGAGAGCUGGUAGGUCCUGCAUCUGAUCUCAGUCCCUGCAUGGAUCUUGCCUGAGUUCAGCCACGGAAAUGGUCAUCAUAGGGGUUAAAAUGAAUCUGAUUUCAUCCAGCUUAGAACACACAGGAUACACAUCAAAGGUGGAUUUCUGUCUGAGUUCCUCAUGGAUUUCAAUUUCAAUCAACAGCUGCAGGCCUAUUUUUUCCUUGUUUUAGAAGCAGAAAUCAUGGCCAAGGCUCUGGCAGCCAGGCCAGCAAAUAGUGACAAGUAGUGUAAACUGAUCUGGCAGGCUUCAUUAAGGGCAGAUUAAAAACCAGCAAUCCCCAAGGUUUUUGUGAUACGAGUGCAUGUGAAUUACUCACUCCCUAGGGUGAGAUGCAGAGAUAAUGUUCAACUGCCCGGAGAGUGGAACAAAGACUACUGUGUGAAAUUACAUGUUGUGACAGCAUAACAUGCAAAAUUCCAUCCCCCAACAAGGCACUUCCUCUCAAAAAAAACAAACCUUGAUUACCUAAAAACAAGUCAGCCUAUUCCCAAGGGAGCUGAAUGAGUAGAAAAUUCAAGACACCUGCAUAAGGUUUAAGUACGAACUCAACAUCUGAGCCCUGAACUCAGGAUGUUUUGCUAUUUUUCCAAUACAAAGUCCAUAAUUCUCCCAAUUUUUAGAUUUUACUUUUUUUUUUUUUCCAAGAAAUAUUUGACAAUGGACUUCCCUUACUGGAUCAAGUAGUAUUAUAUCAGAAUGCUGAUAAUUAGGGUUCUCUGAUUUUUUUGUUCUUGGUGCAAGGUUUUCUUGCCUUGUGCCUAAAACAGCCUUAUAGUUCUACUAUUUGCUUGCAACCUGAUGGUUUUCUUUGCUCCACAGGGUGAUGGAUCCGGAAUUUCUAACCAAAGACUGCAGGAUAAUAUUUCCCUUUUCAAUCCAAAAUGCUUAGAUCACUAGACCAGACAAAAGGUUCCAAUCCCAACUAUUGCCACUUCACACUCUGUUUUACUUGAUUCUUUCUGUACUCAUUUUUUGCAAAUUAAAUUUGCAAAUUAAAUAUGGAAUUGAAUGUUUUACACUGAUUUAUUUUUUUAAAGCCACACAACAUCAAGAGCAGUAUGUUAGCUAGUGAUCUUGAUCUGAUUUGUAGGCACAGAGUGGAUACAGUAGAAAGAAGCUGCACUGAGUUCAUACAGCUCAAGUAGAGGAAGCUACAUUAAGGUAACAACAAACAGAAGAGUAAGAUUUGCCAUUUACCACCUGAAAUUGUAGAGUUCUAGUGUCCAUCCAUGCUUCACUACUUUGUCUAGAGAGUCAGGAAAAGCAGAUACAUAACCAUUAACAUUAUAAUUGAAAAGUGGGAAACAAUUCUGCAAGAUUCCACAGGAGAGGAUUCCUAGUUCAGCCAGAAAACUGUCCAAGUUUCCUUCUUUCUCUGGAUUGUAUCUAUGAGCAGAAGUUCAGAAGACAAAAAAAAAAAACAACUGUUGAAGUUGUCUCAUACCCAGAGAUCACCACAUCUAAGAGGCAGAGCAGAGCUUCUUAGCUGUCUCACAAUUUUAGCCUCAUCUAAGACUCUUUCACUGUUGCAAGUUCUGCAUUUUACAUCCAUUCAUGAUUUCAAACACAUCUGGAAAUGCUUUAAUGAGAUUAUAUCUAGUGAGCACUGUACACUGUACACCAUGCCGUUUGCAAGGGUCUACCCAGCAUUUUCAGACUUUUCAGACCAGGAGCUAGAAGAAUAAGAGAUCAUUAAUUUAAGCUCUUUUGCUUAAUUGAGUCUGCAUGGGCAUCAUUUCUCUCCUUUAGACUUUACAGAAGCCAUCUUCCAUGCACAAAUUGUUCUUUGAUUUCUGAAAGUUAGAGCUUGGUGAGAAGGAAUCAAAGGUGUGAGCCUUUUCCUGCUAUCAUUUUCCCUACAUAACUUAGAGAUUGAUUUAGACAGAUCUCAGAUAAUCCCAGUGCCUGAAACUAAUCUUUUAACUCUAGGAGUUAUAAACUCUCUCCUGUUCUUAGGCUGACAUUGAAACCACAGAAUAGAAAACAACUCCUUGGUUUUGCAGCGUAAUGCUCUCACACCUGGAUGAGCAUUUCCAGCAAUAUAUCCUUCAUUAUGAAGCCUGAGAACUGAAAAAUAUCACUACUUGUUUUGGCCUCUGAAUAGUCCUGUCACAACAGAUGACAUUCAAAUGGGAAUCCUGAGUUGAAAAACAUCAAUAGGUGACUUUCAGCAAUGCUUUUGCUCUUAAAAGCAAGGAUGAAAUCCUGUGCUCACUGUUUUCUAUUGGCUAUUUCUAUGCUGAGCAUUAACGUUUCUCACCGACCCCCCAGGGUAGUUAAUUCUGAGCUUCAUGUGUUGGGACUGAAUGCAAUAUUCACAGUACUGUAGUGCAGAACUGGAAUUCUUCAAGUAAAUAUUCCAUACCUAAAAGCAUUACAUCUGUAUCACAACACUUCAAGUUGUUAGUCUUAUUUCUAAGCAAAUUCACAGUAGCAUCUCAGGGUGUACAGAGGAACCUCAUCUGAUUCAAAAAUUCUCCCCAGUUCCUGCAUUCACUGAGUACUGCCAAGUUCCAGCUUUCUCAGUUCAGAUGUAGUACCACGUGCAUCUAAGCAUUUCUUUUUUAGGGAUACAAUAUCAUAAGUGAUUCAAACAUUAUGUAUCUCUUGUGUCAAAUAAGCUUUCCAAGUACUGCUACAAUCAGCAGUAUAGCCAAGCAAGCAAUUAAUUUAACAUAACUUAUUACAGACAAAAUGGGAUUUAAAUUUCGUUGUUGACUUGCGAGUAAAGCAAGUAAAUAGUUUCUUUUCUUUAGUGUCAGCACCUUACUUGAUUUGUAUUUCCACAAAACAAAAUUAGUAGGGAAAAGCCCACAGUUCUCAGCUAACUGCCUGUCAUCAACGUCUGUUUGGGCACUUUAGUGCACAGCGUGUUUACUCCUUUUUAAUUAAGGGAACUCUAGUAUAGUUUUCCACAUAGGCAUUGUUUUCUUGCUAUGAACAACUUGCACCACACCAUAAAAUAAUUUCAAAUUAAUAUUAUCUAGUAAAUACUUAGACCUAAUUAAUCUUGUUGCUUUAAUUUUAUCAUUUGCUUCUUUUAGACCUCAUUGAAAGCAAGACGGAGGAUGAUGAGGACAUUUUCAGUUCAUGCUCUCCCGGAUCCUUAGACCUUAAUUAAAGCCUUCACUACACAUG